UCACAAAAGGGAUGGGAUCUCAAUCCACAUCCGGGUUAUAUUCAAGAUCCCUCUCUGGAUCGUCUUCUUCUUCAAAAGUCUUUCUCCUCUUCAGGUUCCUCUUCCUUAGAUUCUCCUCAGGGUCCUGAAAUGGUUAUUCAAUAACCAAUGAGACCACGUCUCAGCGAGUCCUACCCACUAAGACCCGAUUAAUAAACUAAUACGCCAUACGGUUGCCUAAGCACAACACGAGUCAGAGGACUUACCUUGGCCUCAGUUCCAACCUGCAAUUCAAGGUUAAACACAAGUAUUCAAACAAUUCACGACAUUCGAUCAAGCAUUGAUCAAUCGACUAAGUCGAUUACAUGUCAGCCAGACCCUCUCUAGGUCAUUCCCACUCAUACCACGCUUUCUCAGUGGUGUACUCAUUCACCAAAUCACAUGUGUUUCUCGGGCGUCGUUUUCGCCAAUGACAUACCGAUCACCGACACCGUGCGUUCUUUAAGGCGCCGUUUUCACCAGUGAUAACCUUGAUCACCGAACCACGUGUCCUUUCAAGGGCGUCGUUUUCGCCAAGGUGACAUCGGCUAUAGACAACAUCGUGCGUUCUUUAAGGCGCCGUUUUCACCAGUGAUAUUCCCAUAAUCACCGAACCACGUGUGUCUAUAAGUCAUUUACGUGCGUUCUUUAAGGCGCCGUUUUCGCCAGUGAUACUUCCAAUCACCGAACCACGUAUGUCCAAUAAUAUCGUACCUGAUUGGUCUCACCAUUCUCCCUACUAUAUAGCCCAUCAACGUACUGGCGCUAUAUACCCAUGCUUGGCCAUUACCAAUCAAAUAUUCAAUAACAAACAAUUUAGGACAAUUCCUAAAAUUCCACAAUAAAUUCAAUUCCACACAACGUAGAGCUCAAUUAAAUAAACGGACUGCACCACGACAAUCGGCAUGAAAUUCCGGUCACCGGCCAUCCCGGUUGAAUUUCCGGAAAAAUAAUUAAUUAAAUAAAUAAAUUUCGAAAAUAAAUAAAUAAACAUUAAAAAUCCAAUUUAGGCCUAUAUUGCCUUAUUGGAGCCCGAAACGGGUCGGGAAAAAUCCCGAGAUGCAUUCAAUAAAUAACCAAACAUUUCUACUUGCUAAUAGCUAGGUCUAACCACCUAACAUGCAUCCUCAAGUCACUAAUUUAAUUGUUCUAACCUAAUCUAACCACCUAAGUGCAUGUAAUUAAAUCUAACCAACCCUAAGACAUAAUUAGCAAACUAAUAAAGCUUUAGUGAGUAAAACUCACUUGGCAAAAGCGGAGACCGAAUCACCGCAACGGCGACGCGACGGCGGCCGAAAUAGGACUUUCGACGACACCGGCGAACUUGGACCGGGCCUUAGGCUUGGCCCAACAAAUCUCAGCCCAACUGAGAUUUGUUCUUGCACUGCACUGGGCUCGCUCUUGGGCUUGGGCUUGCUGCGAUUGGGCCUCUUCGCGGGCUGGACUUGGGCUGAAGAUGGACUUGAAACAAACUGAACUGGGCCGGGCUUCAAGUGGCUUAGCUGCUGGGUGAUUGGGCCCAGCUAGACAAAAAUUCGCUGGGCUUGAAGACUGAAAAUUUGGGCCGAGAUUGCUGGCUUCGCUGGGCUUGAAAUGGCCCUCAAUUGGACCGAAUUUUGCUGGGCUGAAGGCUGAGCUUGCGACUGGCUUCGUGCAAGCUGGCGAUGAACGUCCGUGGGGAUGGGAAGCAGCUUUAAUCGCUGCUUAAUUUACGUGGACGAGUGGCUGAGCGGGCGAGUGGCAGAGAGCUGAGGGCGUGGGCGUGGCUUCGUGGAUGCUGAGUUCUCGGUGGGUUGUGGGCUCCGGGGAGUCAACAACGUUCUGCCGUGUUGACUGGUGUGCUGGCAGAGUGAAGGACGCUCGGUGGGUCUCGCUGAAUGAAGACCAGUUGAGGUGGCGAGCUGGCCUGCGAGUUGCUUCGUUCAGCGUCGCUUCGCUGGCUCAACUUGGCGGCAGCUUGGUCAACAAAUUGAAGAGAAGAAGGCUUGGAGUUGACUGGCGUGCGCUGGCCGCGUGGAUGCUUGGAGCAGCUUCGUGGACGAUCAAUCUUCAACGAAGCGGAAGAAAAAGAAUUUCGGUGGAGCUGCUGCAGGGGUCUUCGCUGGCGUGAGUGGCCGACCAGCUCGGUGGAAUCGAGGCUUCAAGAGGUCAACCAAGAACUUCACACGGUGGGGAAAUUGACCCAGAUCGUGGGUUGAUGAAGACACAAACACGGAGGAGGCUUUGCUGGGCUGGACUUUGACCGAAAGAAAAUGAAGCAGAAGCUGA
rnacentral:lncRNA from 1 species